rnacentral:rRNA from 1 species
UGGCGGACGGGUGAGUAACGCGUGAGAAUCUGGCUCCAGGUCGGGGAUAACAGUUGGAAACGACUGCUAAUACCGGAUGUGCCGAAAGGUGAAAGAUUUAUUGCCUGGAGAUGAGCUCGCGUCUGAUUAGCUAGUUGGUGGUGUAAGGGACCACCAAGGCGUCGAUCAGUAGCUGGUCUGAGAGGAUGAUCAGCCACACUGGGACUGAGACACGGCCCAGACUCCUACGGGAGGCAGCAGUGGGGAAUUUUCCGCAAUGGGCGAAAGCCUGACGGAGCAAUACCGCGUGAGGGAGGAAGGCUCUUGGGUCGUAAACCUCUUUUCUCAAGGAAGAAGAAAGUGACGGUACUUGAGGAAUAAGCAUCGGCUAACUCCGUGCCAGCAGCCGCGGUAAUACGGAGGAUGCAAGCGUUAUCCGGAAUGAUUGGGCGUAAAGGGUCUGCAGGUGGAACUGAAAGUCUGCUGUUAAAGAGUUUGGCUUAACCAAAUAAAAGCGGUGGAAACUACAGAACUAGAGUGCGGUAGGGGCAAAAGGAAUUCCUGGUGUAGCGGUGAAAUGCGUAGAUAUCAGGAAGAACACCGGUGGCGAAAGCGUUUUGCUAGACCGUAACUGACACUGAGGGACGAAAGCUAGGGGAGCGAAUGGGAUUAGAUACCCCAGUAGUCCUAGCCGUAAACGAUGGAUACUAGGCGUGGCUUGUAUCGACCCGAGCCGUGCCGGAGCUAACGCGUUAAGUAUCCCGCCUGGGGAGUACGCACGCAAGUGUGAAACUCAAAGGAAUUGACGGGGGCCCGCACAAGCGGUGGAGUAUGUGGUUUAAUUCGAUGCAACGCGAAGAACCUUACCAAGACUUGACAUCCUGCGAAUCCUGGUGAAAGCUGGGAGUGCCUUAGGGAGCGCAGAGACAGGUGGUGCAUGGCUGUCGUCAGCUCGUGUCGUGAGAUGUUGGGUUAAGUCCCGCAACGAGCGCAACCCUCGUUUUUAGUUGCCAGCAUUAAGUUGGGCACUCUAGAGAGACUGCCGGUGACAAACCGGAGGAAGGUGAGGAUGACGUCAAGUCAGCAUGCCCCUUACGUCUUGGGCUACACACGUACUACAAUGCUACGGACAGAGGGCAGCAAGCCAGGGAUGGCAAGCGAAUCCAGAAACCGUAGCUCAGUUCAGAUCGAAGGCUGCAACUCGCCUUCGUGAAGGAGGAAUCGCUAGUAAUUGCAGGUCAGCAUACUGCAGUGAAUUCGUUCCCGGGCCUUGUACACACCGCCCGUCACACCAUGGAAGUUGGUCACGCCCGAAGUCAUUACCCCAACCGAAAGGAGGGGGAUGCCUAAGGUAGGACUGGUGACUGGGGUGAAGUCGU